rnacentral:lncRNA from 1 species
AUGUUCUGCCCACCGUUCCCACAGUAGGAACUGAUUUGGAGGACGCAGCCUUGAGAAAGCAACGUGUUGCGAAGACCAUUUGGCUGGUGUACGUGACUUUUGAGAUUCUGGAGGGUGGUGAGAUCUACUCUUCCUGAGGCCGCCCAGGAAUUUGGAGCUGGGCUUUUUGGAGGAGUUCAUCCUAGCGUGCUCUGCAGAUCAAGAGGAAUAAGUCACAAGGCCAGAAGGAGUGAGGAGACCCUCGUUGCAAAACAAAACAGAGCAUCUGGGGUUUAGCAGCUCCUAUGAAGUAGUCCCUAGGACUCAAAAGCAAGGCCCGACUGCUUGCUGUCAGUGUGGCAUGUUGAAGAAGUGGAUUCUUCUAAUUAACUCAAGAUGGCAAUCUCCCAAAGCUGUCUGUUUUCAAGAUUAUAGGUAUUUCAUUUUCAUUCUGUUGUGAUAAAGAGGAAUGUGAUGAAGAUGAUUGGAAUUACCUCCCAUUACGAGCUUGUUAAUUUGUCUGCUGUAAUUUUCUAAGCGUUUUCUUGGAACACA